AAGCACCUUGGGCAGGGCUAUAGAGGGUGUCCAAUGAUGUGAUGGCUAUGGGUUAAGUUCAGGAAGCUGCCCACUCACUGCCGGGCACGUGGGAGGUGCUGCCCUGGCAACUGCCAGGGAGACAGGGGGAGUGACCGGCACAUGCAGGGCUGGUGAUGGCCAAGGAUGGCGGGACUGGACUCUGGGAUAUCAGCGCCUGGACAACUCACCUCUCCUGCCCGUAACAGCGCCAGACACAGAGGAGACUUUUGCACCUCCCGGAGACCCCAGUGUCUAUUUUGAGCAGAAAUCCCGAGAGUUUCCCCCGGAGAUGACUUGGUCUAAUAUACAAACAGCUUCCAGGAAGAGGAAGAACCCAGAGAAGAAAGUAACAAACCCUCUUUCCCUCACUCUCCUUGCCCCCACCUGCAAACAGAAGCUGCAGAAAGCUCCUGGGGAGGAGUCGGAUCACACAGAACCGAGAAGGGUGGUGGUUAACCCGGGAACUCUAGUCAGACUGUGUGAGUUCAGAUCGCAGCUCUACCAGUGAGGCCCAUCCAGCCUGGAGGAGGCCUCCAAGGAGGAAUGCACAGAAUUCCACUCCCAGAUUUCCUGAGGCCUGAACGGACGCUGGAUGACAGCGCAUGGGGAGAGGUGCAAACCCAGAUGUGGGCGCAAGGACAGAUGGAGACGGUCUAGGCCCGCUAGAGAGCUGUUUGGGGGAAUGACACCAACACACAAAUGAGAUCCGAGGUGUUGUCAUGAAGAUUUCUCUUUCUGGAAAGCUGCAGCACUUUAAAAGGAAGGACAGAUUUUCUCAGGGACAACUUGGGGGUCAGGCAGAAGGGAUCUGGGGAUGCCAGCCCCUAUUGGCAGCCAACUCAGCUCCCAUUUAAAUGCUGUUCAGAAGCAGCACACCCUGGAAAGUUUUUCACAUGGACAGUGGAGCCCAGGAGAUACUUGUAAGGGGGAAAAAUGCAAGUUUUCUUCAUUUACCUGAACUGUGGAACCAGAAAGUCAGGUUCCAGACCUCACCCCAUUUCUGAGCCUUGCGACCUUGAGCCUCGACUUUCCCAGUCUGUAGAAGGGGGUGAAUCAAGCCAUGUAGAUCAGCACCCACAUCCACGCCUGACUCUUAGCUGUUGCUCACAGAAAGGAGGGCGAGACAGUGACCUGCUGCCACACGCGGGCGGGGGCCCCCACGGUACUCACCACUCACGGUGACCUGCGUGCCUGGUCCCGACUUCACUUCUGUGUCAGGGCUCCCUUUCUGGAACUUCACACAGUAGUAGACCCCAGUGUCUGCUGGGGUGAUGUUACUGAUGCGGAUGGAAAAGUCCUUGUUGUCUCUGAUUGUGGCAUCUGAGACACUGGUUAUUCGGGGGAAGGGGCCUUCGUCUUUUACUCCUUUGAAACUGUAGACUAAGUGCCGGCCUGGACCCGACCCCCUGAACCACCUGACUGUCCCCACAGGGAGCAGGGAGGUCAGGGAGCAGCGCAGAGUGGCCGUCUCUCAGGUGCCACCGACACGGACUUUUCAGGCUGGAUCACCUGCAGCUCCUCCUCACCGGCUGCUCCUGCAGGAAAGCAAAGCAGUUCCUUGUUCAUCCUGCAUGACCCUGCGGGCUUUCUCAAGCACUAUCACAAGGACCUGCUGACAGUGCUCACCCCCGGGGUGGGGCCCUGGGUUCAGCACAUGGGUGUAUCAUCACCUGGAACCCCCACUAUGAGCCUGUAAAGUGAGGCUGUUCCAAAUGAAGUGGCAGGUUUAGUGCCUGAGGCCUCUCUGGAAGGGUCAUGAUUCACCAAAUACUUGCAGGACACUUUGUGGUGUCAGGACAUGUUGCAUUUUCAGUUCUUUAACGUGAUGGACCAGGCGAGUCUUGGGACCAUUGGUUUGUGAGUGGCAGUGAUGGGUGUGUUGGGAGGAUGUCCUUGAACGGCAAGAAACUCUGUGCGUGAAGCAACCUCUUCCCGAGAUCACAUGCUCAUGAAAGGGGCUGUUCCCUGGCCUGGGUGCUUGAAUGACCAUGAGGUGUUGAGUUCCCUACGCACAAUGAACAAGGUAUUUAAAAAGAAUGAAAACAUAGUCUUAAGCCUGGAAUUUUUUUUCCCAAUGCCAUGAUCAUGUGUAUUAGUGUCUAUUACUUCUAUUAUUUUUCCCCAAAACUCAAUGGCUUAAAAUAAUGAAUUUUCAUUAACAGAUGAGGCAUAAACAGAGUAAUGUCCUUUUACAUAGAUAAACCUUGACAAUAUUUUGCUAAAAAAAAUAAGGCAGAAAGAAAAAGACUGAUCUAUAGUUCUAAUUAUAGGAAAAAGUUAGAAUAGGUGAAUUCGCACAGAGAAGUAGUAAGAUGGAGGCUAUCUGGGGCUUCUGGGAUAGAAUGAUAGGGAAUGUAUUGUUGGAUGUGUACAGUUUUCUCCUAGGAUGUUGAAAAGGUUGUGAACUGCAUUUUGUUAACAGAUGGAAAAAUUGUGAAUGUACUUGAUGCUGCUGAAUUAUAAACUAAAAAGUGGUUCAAUGGUAUGUUUUAUGUGUGUUUUGCCACAAUGAAAGUUAUGUGGUCAAGCAAAGUGACUCCCCUGGUU